rnacentral:rRNA from 1 species
UACGAAGGGGGCUAGCGUUGUUCGGAAUUACUGGGCGUAAAGCGAACUUAGGCGGUGUUCCAUGUCAGAGGUGAAAGCCUGGGGCUCAACUCCAGAAUUGCCUUUGAAACGGGAACGCUUGAGUCCGAGAGAGGGUGGCGGAAUUCCUAGUGUAGAGGUGAAAUUCGUAGAUAUUAGGAAGAACACCAGUGGCGAAGGCGGCCACCUGGCUCGGUACUGACGCUCAGGUUCGAAAGCGUGGGGAGCAAACAGG